CGAUGUGAAGAGACACAUCAAUUGAUUGCCUCCCACACACAGCACUGCUUGAGUUUCUCACAACAUGGUGGCUGGAUUCCCCCAGAAAGAGAUCCAAUGGACCAAGGUAAAAGCAGAAACGGCAUUCCUGACUUAGUCUCGAAAAUCAUCCUGUCACCUGCACGGUGCUCUUGGUCACAAACCCCAGCUCCGAGUCGGUGUGGGAGGAGAGAAGACAUGAGCAUGAACACCAGGAGAGUUCCCUGCAGAAGGCGGGGGAGAGGAGUAAAGAAUAUAAUUGCUGACCAGGGAGAGAGGUUAAUCUCAGCUAUCAUCGGACCAAGAGAAGACAAAUCUACAAAAACCCUAAAAGCCCAGGCAGGUCACAUCCAUCCUUAAGAAAAGUGUUACUGCUGUGUUACGCUCUCGCUUGCAAAGUUCCCCCAUCCCAAAGUAACAGCUUCAUACCACAGUCCAGCACAGCCAUGGCGGAGAGGUUCCUCUGGGAAGACGGGUGACUUAUUCUAAAUCUCCAAGGGACAGCUCCUUAGGUUGGAGGGCGGAAUGUGCCAGCGUGCUUGUUGACUAUGUCCCGUGCGAUGUCAUGUGAAAAAAGCUGGGGCUGAAGUCUGGCCUCUCCGGCCUGGCAGACACAAACCCCGCCACUAAGCGGGCCCCCUGGCCUGGGAGAACUUGCGGCAGGAAGGACUCCUCCAGAGUCCAGCACGCAUUACCUGAGGAGGUGGGCUGGCAGCAGGAGGGGGAGCAGGUGCAGGCUGCUGUGAAUUUUGUGCUGUGUGCCCGGUGCCUUCUGUAACCCAGGAUUACAACCUAGAAGCCUAGCAGUUUGGGAGAAUUCCUGCAGCAACUUUCAGUUUUUCAGGAAGCGCAAAAGUAAUUGUUUAUUCAAAAUGAAACCUCAGGAUGACUUUUAGUUAGAAAAAAAAAUCUUGACUCUGGUU